AUGGAAUAUUUUUGGUUGUGCCUAAUCAUUGUGCUAUUUCNUGCUAGAUCACCCUCUGAGCCUCAAUGAAGUGGCGGCAUAGAAAAACACCCGUUGGAAGCCCUGCCUAACCCCUGAGAUUAAGCAAUUUGUCACCCAUUACUUGGGAAUAAGAACAGGAGGUGCUCAGUGCCCUGCCGCCUGUUUCAAGACUUUCCACAGCACCUUUCUGAGGCAAUUGUCUGCCACUUUGUAAACAAGCAGUCUGUCCUCGUCAAGGGAACAAGCAGGCUUGUAAAAGAAGCACAGCAAAAAAGGGAUAAAUAAAGCUAUCCAGGAUGACUCACAAGUUGUUUCAUAUCAUCUAUCAUCUCAAAAUUCACCUGAAGGAACUUGCAUGCUGCUUCCAAGUUAACCCUUAGUAGUUUUAUUUCAAGGCAGUUAUACUUAUCUUUAUAGCUUAAGAAACAGGGUGGCUUUACCCCAC
rnacentral:lncRNA from 1 species